CAACAGGCAUCAGCAGGCACGCACGUGAAAAUCACGGUCGAGGGAACUGUUGUUUUCAUAUAGAAUUUUCGUUCCUUUAUUAAGUGCUUAUGAAAAUUAAGUGUUUUUGUCAUGAUUUACUUCCAUGCAAGUGUCUAAUAAUAUAUUCGGUGAUAUUAUUGAUGUGGUUUAGUUUUAACAACGUUAUACUACUCGUAUACUACCGUGGGGACAAAUGCUUUAAGCGAAAAAAAGCAGAAAAUUUUCAACACGCAUCCAAGAAUAUUUUCUAUCAUAUCAUAUCAAGAAUAUUUUCUUGUUAUAUUUCUCGUCCUGAUCUAUUUUGUCAAACCGCAAAUCUUUUAUAAUUUAGAUUGAAAAAUGAAGGAAGUGAAAGAUUUGUCAAUUGAAGAAUUAGGACAAAAAAUUGAAGAACUUACAGAUAUGGAAACACGAAACAUUUUUAAUGAUGUCUAAAAAUAGAAUUUAAAAAUAAAUAAGAAAAUGGAUUUAAAUUGCUUUUUGUGCCAUAAUUCUGUUAAAGGAGGGUUAGAUAGGUGACACAAUAUUUUCAAAUAAAACAUGGUCUAACAAUUAAACGAGGAUUACAAAAGGGUGGAUUUGAAUGUGGUCAAAAUAAAUGUCGUAGAAGAUUUCGUAAUUUCUUUUCUUUAAGACAGCAUAUACGAAAAAUUCAUUUUCCUCAAAAGAAGAAUGAUAGCAAUUUUUCUACGAAAAGUACAGAUUCUACAAACAA